rnacentral:rRNA from 1 species
UACGUAGGGCGCAAGCGUUGUCCGGAAUUAUUGGGCGUAAAGAGCUCGUAGGUGGUUCGGUAAGUCAGGUGUGAAACCUCCAGGCUCAACCUGGAGACGCCACUUGAUACUGCUGUGACUGGAGUCCGGUAGGGGAGCGUGGAAUUCCUGGUGUAGCGGUGAAAUGCGCAGAUAUCAGGAGGAACACCAGCGGCGAAGGCGGCGCUCUGGGCCGGUACUGACGCUCAGGCACGAAAGCGUGGGGAGCAAACAGG